AACGCGAAGAACCUUACCAAGGCUUGACAUAUAGCGAAAAGUGGCAGAGAUGUCAUGUCCGCAAGGGCGCUAUACAGGUGGUGCAUGGUUGUCGUCAGCUCGUGUCGUGAGAUGUUGGGUUAAGUCCCGCAACGAGCGCAACCCUCGUUCUGUGUUACCAGCAUUCAGUUGGGGACUCACAGGAGACUGCCGGGGUCAACUCGGAGGAAGGUGGGGAUGACGUCAAAUCAUCAUGCCCCUUAUGUCUUGGGCUGCACGCAUGCUACAAUGGCCGGUACAAAGUGCUGCGAGAUCGUAAGAUUGAGCGAAUCACAUAAAGCCGGUCUCAGUUCGGAUUGAGGUCUGCAACUCGACCUCAUGAAGUUGGAGUUGCUAGUAAUCGUAGAUCAGCAACGCUACGGUGAAUACGUUCCCGGGUCUUGUACACACCG
rnacentral:rRNA from 1 species